rnacentral:rRNA from 1 species
GAGGUAGUGACAAUAAAUCACAAUGCGGAACAAUGUUUUGCAAUUGGAUUGAGAACAACGUACAAACCUUAUCGAUAAACAAUUGGAGGGCAAGUCUGGUGCCAGCAGCCGCGGUAAUUCCAGCUCCAAUAGCGUAUAUUAACGUUGUUGCAGUUAAAAAGCUCGUAGUUGAAAUGAAGGGUGGUUGUGUAAUGAAUACAUUCGUGUAUUUUGUUAUUCAACUACCCUCCUUCUAAAUUCGAUAUAUGAGUAUUAAUUUACUUGUAUAUGGUUUUAGACGUUUACUGUGAGAAAAUUAGAGUGUUCAAAGCAGGCAUUUGCUUGAAUAUAUUAGCAUGGAAUAAUCAUGUAUGAUUUUCAUGAUGUAUUUGAUUGGUUUGGUUCAUGAGAAUAAGAUUAAAAGGGACAGUUGGGGGUAUUCAUAUUCAAUAGUCAGAGGUGAAAUUCUCGGAUUUAUGGAAGAUGAACAAGUGCGAAAGCAUUUACCAAGGAUGUUUU